rnacentral:rRNA from 1 species
CCUACGGGAGGCAGCAGUGAGGAAUAUUGGUCAAUGGACGAGAGUCUGAACCAGCCAAGUAGCGUGAAGGAUGACUGCCCUAUGGGUUGUAAACUUCUUUUAUAUGGGAAUAAAAUGUUCCACGUGUGGGAUUUUGUAUGUACCAUAUGAAUAAGGAUCGGCUAACUCCGUGCCAGCAGCCGCGGUAAUACGGAGGAUCCGAGCGUUAGCCGGAUUUAUUGGGUUUAAAGGGAGCGUAGGUGGAUUGUUAAGUCAGUUGUGAAAGUUUGCGGCUCAACCGUAAAAUUGCAGUUGAAACUGGCAGUCUUGAGUACAGUGGAGGUGGGCGGAAUUCGUGGUGUAGCGGUGAAAUGCUUAGAUAUCACGAAGAACUCCGAGUGCGAAGGCAGUUCACUGGACUGCAACUGACACUGAGGCUCGAAAGUGUGGGUAUCAAACAGGAUUAGAUACCCUAGUAGUC